UCCAGACUCCUACGGGAGGCAGCAGUGGGGAAUAUUGCACAAUGGGGGAAACCCUGAUGCAGCGACGCCGCGUGAGUGAAGAAGUAUUUCGGUAUGUAAAGCUCUAUCAGCAGGGAAGAAAAUGACGGUACCUGACUAAGAAGCCCCGGCUAACUACGUGCCAGCAGCCGCGGCAAUACGUAGGGGGCAAGCGUUAUCCGGAUUUACUGGGUGUAAAGGGGGCGCAGACGGCAAUGCAAGCCAGGAGUGAAAGCCCGGGGCCCAACCCCGGGACUGCUCUUGGAACUGCAUGGCUGGAGUACAGGAGGGGCAGGCGGAUUUCCUAGUGUAGCGGUGAAAUGCGUAGAUAUUAGGAGGAACACCAGUGGCGAAGGCGGUCUGCUGGACAGCAACUGACGCUGAGGCGCGAAAGCGUGGGGAGCAAACAGGAUUAGAUACCCCCGUA
rnacentral:rRNA from 1 species